CUGUCAUCAAAAGAGCAUAACUCAGAAAGUGCUGCCAGAUCUCUGGUCUUUCCUCUCACUGCUCUGCUGUGUAAAUUCUGCUUGCUCCAAUGAAAUUAAGCCUCAUAGAUGUAAAAAGAGAUGAAGCAAUUCAAGAGAGAUCAAGUAUAAAGUAACUUUCAUGUUCCAUUCUCAGAAGUCACAAACCAUCAUGUGUGCCACAUUCUACUUAUCAGAAUGUGCUCUACUCAGAUAGUCUCCUGUCAGAAUACGGAAGCCAACCCAACAUGCAGAAAGUCCACCGUGUCUGAGAAUGACUCCCUCCAUUCACCUCCUCCCCUGCCAUUGAUCACUGCCAUGAUAGGUCAGGACAUUCAAUGCCAUUCCUCUUUGCCUCUGGUCAAAUCUUCUGAAACAUAACUUCCUCCAGAGAACUUCAGGAUGAGGAUGAAGUACCCAUCACAGGACUUUGCCUGAGAUUACAUCUGCCUGCUCCCUCCCCAUGUGAUCUACUCCCUCCUGCCUCCUUUCCAAUGUUCCCUGGAAGUGUUUUCUUAAUAAAUACAUCCACAUGAAUCAUCCUCUUGGGGUGUGCUUCUCAGAAACCCAACUACAGCUCAGUAUUUGCAGCCAUAGCACUGAUCAGAUGACUCUCUCCUACAGAAAAUUUG
ensembl:lncRNA